CGCCGAUCUGGACGUAGUACAGGGUAUGUACAUUAUCUGUAACCAUCUUGCUCAUAUUUUGUUUGAUAGUGGUACAUCGCAUUCAUUUGUUUCACCUAUUUUUUCAUCCAAAUUUAAUAUAUUACCUGAUAAACUUGAUUCAAUGUUAUUUGUAUCUACUGUUGGGAGUGCAACAUUACUAGGAGAAGUUAUCUACAAGGCUUGUGCCGUGGAAAUAGCAAAUAAGAAACUGAGUGUAGACCUGAUAGAAU
rnacentral:lncRNA from 1 species